CCCUUAGAUGUUCUGGGCCGCACGCGCGCUACACUGACGAAUGCAACGAGCUUAUAACCUUGGCCGAAAGGUCUGGGUAAUCUCCAAAUUUCGUCGUGAUGGGGAUAGAUUAUUGCAAUUAUUAAUCUUCAACGAGGAAUGCCUAGUAAGCGCAAGUCAUCAGCUUGCGUUGAUUACGUCCCUGCCCUUUGUACACACCGCCCGUCGCUCCUACCGAUUGAAUGGUCCGGUGAAGCGUUCGGACCGUGGCCUUUGGACGGUUCGCCGUCUGUUGGCUGCGGGAAGUUCGUUAAACUUUAUCAUUUAGAGGAAGGAGAAGUCGUAACA
rnacentral:rRNA from 1 species